GACGAACGCUGGCGGCGUGCCUAAUACAUGCAAGUAGAACGCACAGUUUAUACCGUAGCUUGCUACACCAUAGACUGUGAGUUGCGAACGGGUGAGUAACGCGUAGGUAACCUGCCUGGUAGCGGGGGAUAACUAUUGGAGACGAUAGCUAAUACCGCAUAAUAUUAAUUAUUGCAUGAUAAUUAAUUGAAAGGUGCAAUUGCACCACUACCAGAUGGACCUGCGUUGUAUUAGCUAGUAGGUGAGGUAACGGCUCACCUAGGCGACGAUACAUAGCCGACCUGAGAGGGUGAUCGGCCACACUGGGACUGAGACACGGCCCAGACUCCUACGGGAGGCAGCAGUAGGGAAUCUUCGGCAAUGGACGAAAGUCUGACCGAGCAACGCCGCGUGAGUGAAGAAGGUUUUCGGAUCAUAAAGCUCUGUUGUAAGAGAAGAACGGGUGUGAGAGUGGAAAGUUCACACUGUGACGGUAUCUUACCAGAAAGGGACGGCUAACUACGUG
rnacentral:rRNA from 1 species